rnacentral:rRNA from 1 species
UAGUCUAAGGAGCUGGCAUCAGGCACAGACUUCUAGCCCACAACGCCUAGUUUCACCACACCCCCAAGGGUACCCAGCAGUGAUAAAUCUUGUUCAUAAGCGUCAGCUUGAUUUAGUUAAAGAAAAGAGAGCCGGCCAAUCCGGUGCCAGCCGCCGCGGUUACACCAGAGGGCUCAAGUUGAUAAAACACCGGCGUUAAGCGUGAUUAAAGAACAUCCUGAUUAGAGUUAAAUUUAAAUUUAGUAGUCAAAAGCUCAUUAUUUAGAAAGCCAAAAACGAAAGUUACUCUAACUUUGCUUGAAUACACGACAGCUAGGAUACAAACUGGGAUUUGAUACCCCACUAUGCCUUGCCGUAAACUAUUAACUCACAACAACCAGCGCCAGGGAAUUACGAGCCUAAGCUUAAAACCCAAAGGACUUGACGGUGUCCCACCCACCUAGAGGAGCCUGUUCUGUAAUCGAUAACCCCCGUUUAACCUCACCAUUUUUAGUAGACAGUUUGUAUAUCGCCGUCGUAAGUUUACCCUGUGAACGUCCUAGUAAGCGAAAUGAUCUAACCAUCAAGACGUCAGGUCAAGGUGCAGCUAAUGGAAUGGGAAGAAAUGGGCUACAAUUUCUAAAGUAGAACAAACGAAAGAA